UUAUUAAUAUGUUGUUUUAAUAGGGGUUAAAAACUUCAGUUUUUUAACAAUUGUCUCAUGAAUUCGUGGUAUAGUGUUAGUUAAUAACAAUUAUAAACUGUAAACUAUAAAUAUUUUAUAAAAAUAAAAUUUGCAAGUUUUAAUAUAUAUUACUUUUAAAAAAUAAAUCGUUCCGCGGUAUACCGCGGAUUAAAAUCUAGUGACCAUUUAUUCAUAAAGUUUUUCACUUCAAACACUCUAAAAUAUAGAAUUUUUAAUGAUA
rnacentral:sRNA from 1 species